CCACACCCAGCUAAUUUUGUAUUUGUUAGUAGAGGUGGGGUUUCUCCAUGUUGGUCAAGCUGGUGUUGAACUCCUGACCUCAGGUGAUCCCCCUGCCUCGGCCUCCCAAAGUGUUGGGAUUACAGGUGUGAGCCACUACACCUGGCCCCACCAGUAUUUUAACACAUCCCUUGUAUUUGCACUGAAGCCACCAUUGAGGAUAUUCAGAAUUUUGUAGUGGAGUCUGGUUAGAAAACUAACAGAGUACUAAUAAUAUUUAGAAGUAUUAUGUAAUAGAGGAAAGGUUAUGGGGGUCAGAGAGAUCUAAGUGUGUAUUUUAGUCUUAUCCCUUACUAGCUAAAAUAUAAGGAAAUUUUAAGCCUGUGGGUAUGUGCUUUAAAAAUUACCUUGGGCAAGUCACUGAUGCUCUGUGUGAGCCUCAAGUGCUCAAUUAAAAUGGAUAGAAUAAUCACCAUCUCCUAGGAUUUCAUGAGGGGUGCAUGAAAGAGCAUGUGAAACGCACAGGCUCAUAUCUGGUGUGCAAUAGCCUUGAUUUAUUUUUCUUUGCUUUCCUUCGAUACAUUUUCCCUUGCUCGCGUCAUCUUAGAAAUUAUGGCUAAUAUUAGAGCUCUUUGUAUCCUCAGUAAAAAAAGACACGGACUGAGAUAACAUUUUACUACAGAAUCGGCCGAGGUUUGCGUUGCUCCUCAAAUUUAGGAAGCACAUUAGUUAGAGGCUGAAUGGUAACGCUCUUUUUUCUGAGCCACAGUGGAAAAAGCUGGAGGUUUCCUUUAUCACUCUGAUGGUAUUCUGCUUCCUUCACCAAUGCAAUUCCAUUAUUGCAGUGAAGAAAAUGCACGAUACCUGGAUGAAAGGGGACUCCAUGGAAUGUGAAGUUGUUUGAAAUGGUGUGAGUGGCAUCAUUAAGAUGCCACAUUUUCAUUUCAUUUCUCUUCAGCUUGCAAACACUUCGGUAACCUGCAAAGAUGCUGGAGCCAGUGGGGCAGGGAGUCCAGCCAGGAGGUCCAAAUGCCAUUUCCACACCAGGAUUACUAAUGGGCAUCGUCCUCUUCAAACCACUAAGCUUCUUUAAUUUUGGGGAGACAACAAAAAUGAACCAACACAAUAAUGUAGUUCUAACCUGUGAGAAAAGUGAUGUCAGCCAAACCCAGUGUCCUUGAGCCAGGCUGACCUUCCCAGCACUAUAAGGGCAGUUGCCAGAUAGGCACCUAGCAGUGCGUCAGCUCAGUGGGCUCAGUUCUGGAUGCUAAAUUCCAGUUCUACGCUUGACGCCCCUGGCUUCUGCCAGGACUCGAUCUCACAGUGUCAGCCCCACAUUUGCUUUUGCAAGAUCAUGGAUCUUGUGUUUGAACUUUGUUUUUCCAACUUUGACACUCACAUGGCCUCUGAACUUAAGCUCUGGCCUCCUUCUUCCUGACUGCUUCGAGUAGACCCAAACCUAUUUUUUAUCUGAGGACAAAAUACCUGUCUGGGCUCUAGUCAUGCUACCUUAGUUACCUAAAUAUCAGCAAUGCUGAUUCCUAACCACCCUGACUAUUGUCACCAGAAGGUGCCCUGAUGAUGUUGGGAAGUCUUGCUCCUUGUCUGGGGCCCAAGGCCCGCUUGAAGUUUGAAGAUCCAUCUUUAGGUAGGUAGGUAGGGUCAUCAUUUGCUUAGCAGCCAAACCAAAAUGCUGCAUACUCCUUGGGUUAGGUAGAAUGAUGACCCCCAACGAUCUCUACAUCCCAGGCCCCUGAACCGGUGAGUAUAUCAUGUGACAUGGCAAAGGAGAAUGAAGUUUGCAGAAGGAAUUAAGUUGCUAAUCAAUUGACCUUAUGAUUGAGAAAUUAUUUUAGAUUAUUGAAGCAAGUCUAAUGUAAUUAUUAGGGUCCUUUAAGGUGGAAGAGGGAAGCAGAAGAGGAGGUCAAAGUGAGAGAGAGAUUUGAAGAUGCUCCACUGCUGGCUUUGAAGAUGGGGAAAGGGACCACAGGGAGGCCUCCAGGAGCUGGAGCAAGCAGAGAAAGAUUAUUCCCUAGAGCCUCCACGGGACGCAGUCCUGCUGACGACUUGAUUUAACCCAGGAUGAUCCAUGUCUGACUUCCUGCCUCUGGAAUUUUCUGGAGGCCGGCAAGUCCAAGAUCAACGUGCCAGCUGAUUCGGUGCCUUCUUCCUGGUUUCCAUUUGGCCAUCUUCUCACUGUGUCCUCACAUGGUAAAAACAGAUCAAGAGAGCUGUAAGGGCAUGAAUCCUAUAUGUGAGGGCUCCAGGUUCAGAUUAGGGGUUAGUAUUUCAACAUAGGAAUGUUGGGGGUAUAUAUUCAGUUCAGAACACCACGUGACAGGCAAUAUUCUAAAAUAUUCAUGACCAUCUAACUAGUUUAGGUAAUAGAGGUUGGAUGUGGUGGCAGUUUGGAUGGAGUCUGGAGAAGUUGUCCUUUACAAUACUGCUUUAUGGAAAAGAGGCUUGUUCUGUAAGUGAGGAGUGCAUGAGGCUUUCCCCUAAUGACUGCUGGUCUGGCCCAGGCUUCCUAGUUGCUCCUGUCAAGUCAGGGGCUUAGGUUGCAGCCCCUUCAGUUCCCACAUAGCCAUGCCCAGCACAGUCAAGGUCACCUGUGGGGGCUCCUUUCAGAAAACUGCAGUGUGGGGAACAACCCUUCUUGCUGUGUGGGUGAGGAAAACCCAGGUCAAUCCUUCUCAGUAGACUCUUUGAGAACUCUUUAAGGAGCUUUAAAAAUAUCUGUCCCAGGCUCCACCCCAGGUAGUGAACUCAAGUCAGGGUUGUGAAACACUGGCCUCAGAACAGAGGCCUGAAAACCUUUCUGUGUCACAUGAUGAAAAUCUUUUUCUUAACCUCUGACCCAACUAGAGCUGCAGACAAAACAAGCAAAUGGACGCACCAAGACACCAGCUGGCUUCUGAAGGUUUCAUCUGGUUACAUCGAAGAUGCAGAAGGUACAACUUUGUUCACAUCCUUAGUCAAAUUCUUAAACUGGACAUUUACAUGAAAGUGAUAGCUCAAAAUAUAUGAGCAUUUCAGAGACUUUUCAGAAAUAUUUCCUGAUUAAAAAAACACAUAGUCUCUCCAGAAGUGGGAAGAGUACCAUUUCUUUGAGCCUUUGCUAAUACCGUACAUUUAUACUUAAAAAGUUUUGCCACUUUGAAAGUACAAUAAAUACUCCUUGAGUAAUCACUCUGUGCAAAGCGCUACACUGAGCAAUGUGUUAUUUCAAUUUCAAAACGUUUAGUCGUUGGUGAGAUUGAGCAUCUUUUCAGAAAUUCAAUAUUACACACACAUAUAUAUUUUCUAUUUGUAAAGCUCACUCUGGCUGUGGCAAGAUGAUAAACGCACAGUGGGAGGGGACUGGGGGUCCAGAAUGGAGACAGGGAGACACAUCCAGAGGCCACUGCAGUGCUGCAGGUGGCAUCCAAGGGUGGCUGGGCUGGGUGUGAGAAGUGGAGGUGGUGAGAAGGGGGUCACACUUGGGACGUGGGGGAAGGCUAGUAGUGUUUGUUGAUGGAUAUGGGCUAUAAGGGGAAAAGGGGAAACAAGGAUGACUUGGAGGUUUUCAGGCUGAGCAACUGAGUUGGUGGUGGCCUCAUUUCCUUAGGUGGAGGAAGACAGGAUGGAAUAGGUUAGAGUGGGGAAGGGUGGAUCUAGAUUUUUCCCCAUUGCCACACCUGCCUUGCGUUCAUUUUACAGCCUGAGUUUGCCUGUGGAGAUGCAGGGCAGGGCUUUGCACACCCUGCAGAGGUUGCUGGGUGACCAGCAGGAUGGGAAUCCCAAGUCAGCUCCUCCUUUAGAUUUUCCUGGCCUCUCCCACCAUUACCACGUCUCCCCCAAGGACGUGCCGGGGUCAAGUCCAAAAGCAGGUGACUUUGGCAGGAAGAACUUGGACACUCUGAACUAGAACACACAUCUCUGCGUGUGGUCAUUUGCUCUCCCUCAGGCUGCUGAGAGGGGUCUGGAGACAGCUUCAGGUGGGCUACUCCGAGCUCUAUAGAGACCUGGGGUGGCAGACAGGCCAGGCUGCCCAGGCACUGGGUCACACUCUCUUCUGGACCAACUGCUUGCUCUGCAUUCACCUUUCCUUGCCAUCAGAUGACCAGAGACAGUAUCAAGGCAGAACGGAUACUGGGCCUUCCCAGAUUUCUUUUAAGAGCAAGGUGCCUAUUAGACAAGUGGAGAUGCUGAGUCAGCAGUUGGAUUCACAAGCGUGGAAAUCAGGAGGGAUUAGAUUGAAGACACAGACUUGCAGGCCAGAGCACAGAUAGUUUCUAAGGCAGUGAGAAUGGUUGGGAUCCCUGAGAGAGAGAAGAGAUAGAGAAAUGAAGACUGAGAACUGGGGCACCUAAUAAUUUAAAGUUCUGGGAGAGGAGAAGAAUCUAGCAAAGGAGAGAGAAUGAACAACUGGGGAGUCAAGAGAUCUAAUGAGUUUGCUGUCAGAGAAACCUAAGCAAAAAAUAUUUCAGUAGUGUUGGCCAGGCAGGGUGGCUCACACCUGCAAUCCCAGCACUUUGGGGGGUGCGAGGUGGGUGGGUCACUUGAGAUCAGGAGUUUGAGACCAGCCUGGCUAACAUGAGGAAACCCGGUCUCUACUAAAAAUACAAAAAGUAACCAGGCAUAGCGGUGUGUGCUUGUAAUCCCAGCUACCUGGGACACUGAGGUGGGAGAAUCCCUUGAACUUGGGAGGCAGAAGUUGCAGUGAGCCCAGAUCAUGCCGCUGCACUCCAGCCUGGGUGACAGAAUGAGACUGUCGCAAAUGUCUCAAGAAGAAAAAUGUCAGCUGUGUUCAGUGAGAUGGGGACAAGAAAUCGAUGUAAACUUUGACCGUCUGUGUGUUAAGUGCUGCCUUCUUGGUGCAGUAAGGACAGAAUCAUGAUUACAGUAGUUGAAGAGGAGAUGGUGACAAAUCUCUUGAGAAAUUUUGUGUUGAGGGGAACAGAUAAGUGGAAUAAAAUAUGUAUCUGACCUUGGCAUCUGGGAAAGAUUUAAGAACAGUAUGUUCGUAGGCUUAUGGGAAUGUUCUUCUCUGUGGGAGAAAUGGAUGAUGGCAGAAGGAGAGGGAAUAAUGGCAGAGCCUUUUACUUCUCAAUGAGAAGUCACGAGAGAGUGGGGUAUAGACUACAGGAGGAAGGAUUAUGUCUGCUUUUUCAGGGCUAUUUCUUCGGCAGUGAAAAUGGAAUAAGGGGUGCAAAUGCAGACAAGUUCAUGGAUCUAAUGGGAGAUGUGGACGUCCAUCUUGCACCCACAUAUGUUGACUGUUUUGUCUGCAGCACUCUAGGUACCUCAAGGCAUGGAGAUCAACUUGCUCCUCAGUGCCACUUCCAAGUUACUACACCUUCAAAAACUUCUCUUACCCACUGCAGCCGUCUUCUCCCCCGCACCCUCCUUCUUGAAUGCGUGCAGUUAGCACUCGGAUCACUGGCUUUCUCUCCAUGGUUGCUCAGGUAGAACUUUGGGCAACUCGCUGUGUCCACAAGUUAUGAAUCCAAUAACCUCCUGCUCCAGAGGCUCGAUUUCCUCAUCUCCGGUGCCCUUGAGGUGAGGUCCACUUCACCCUACUGAUAGUGGCAGGAGGCAGUCAAAUGCCCAGGCAGAUGGGGUGGGUACCCAGCGAAAUCACACCUUCAAACCAAAGACAGUUCAAAGCCUGAAGGCCAAGCUACACGUCUUGGACCAGACUGAGAACCUCUCUUCUUGUUUGGUGUGCUCUCCUCUGACUGAGCCCCACCUUUCACCUGUUUGACAUAUACCUGCCCUUCCCUAAUUAGUUUCCUACACUGUGUUUCUUACCCACCUCUGAGUGGUGCCUUUGUUUUAGCCUUCCUUGCAUACUCACAAACCAAUCAGCAGGUACUCCCCCAUUCUGAGCCUAUAAAAGCCCUGGACUCAGCUACACUUUUUGGGGACUGCCUGCCUUUUCAGGUGGAGGGAGCUGCCCUCUCUUAAUCCUUUCUCUGCUGAGAGCUGUUGCCCAGUAAAACUCUCAGCCCUGCUCACCCUUCAGCUGUCAAUGUAACCACAUUCUUCUUGGACACAGAACAAGAAAUUGAGACCCACUGAAUGCGAGUACAAAAAAGGCUGUAACAGCCCGUUUGGGGCUCCGGGGUAGCUGGCAUCCCUGUUGAAGCACAGCCACAUUCCCCUUGUUGGGAUCCCGGGGCACAAGGUGGAGGCAGGUCAAGACAUGCCCAGCCUGGCCCAGCUGUGGGCUGAGCGUGGAUCCUGUGGUGAACAUGGCAUCUGGCCAGAGCACAAACCAGGUGUGGCCUUGCUGGCCGAGUGGGCAGGGUGCCUCCUGUUGUAAGCCCAGGGCUGAGUGAGGCUGAGCUGUGGAUUUUGGCAGCUGUGGACAUCUCCAGCUGGCCAAGCAGCAUUGAAAAAUCCUGCGUCACUGCCACUUGCUUACAGGGUCAUAAUGGAGAUCAGGGAGUACAUCUUUUAAGGAGACUAAGGUAAAUCAUGUCCUCCAGUGCCAGCCACUUUUCAGUCAGAAGAAAAAAGGGAAAACAGGCUGGGAGAGGUGCCUCUUGCCUGUAAUCUCAGCACUUUGGGACCUUGAGAUGGGCACAUCACCUGAGGUGAGGAGUUUGAGACCAGCCUGGCCAAGAUCGUGGAACUCUGUCUCUACUAAAAAUGCAACAAUUAGCUGGGCAUGGUGGCACACAUCUGUAAUCCCAACACUUUGGAAGGGUAAGGCAGGCGUAUCACCUGAGCUCAGGAGUUUGAGACCAGUCUGACCACCAUGGUAAAACCCAUCUCUACUAAAAAUACAAACAUUUGCCAGGAAUGGUGGCACAUGCCUAUAAUUCCAGCUACUUAGGAGGCUGAGGCAGGAGAAUCACUUGGACCUGAGAGGCAGAGGUUGCAGUGAGCCAAGAUCACACCACUAUUCUCCAGCCUGGGUGACCAGAAGGAGACUUCUCAAAAAAAAAAAAAAAAAAAACGAAAAUAACUUUUAGGGUAUGGAUGGAGAUUACAGGGGAUUUUGCUGAUGAUAGGUGGUUAAUUUGGGAGGAUGAAAAAAGUGGGUGAUUAGGUCCAGUCGAGGCACUGCAUGUGGGUAGGGUAAGCAUGCCUCUGAUUAUGCUGAAGACUGAAGCAAAUGGGAUGUUAGGUGUAAUGGGAUGGGUCCUUCCUUUGAGGAGGGAGGGCCGUCAAAAGGAAGCUGUAGAUUAUUUAGCUGUUGAGCAUGUAAGGAAGGUGUGGGCCCUUCUCAGUAGCAGCUGAAGAGGCAACUCCCAGAGCACUGGUAACCUGGGGAAGGACCAAGGUGGCUGAUCUUUCUUUCAGAUGUCCUAAGUCCUUGGGGCUGGUUCCCGGUGUCCUCUUGUGGCAGCUAAGCAUCUAGUCCGGGUGGCUGGUGUUUCUCUCACUUGAGGAUAGGGAAUGACUCCUUAGAGCAGAUGGAAGGUUUCCCCAGCAGCUUUAGAUGUGACUCUCAUAUAUGUUUUGCUUUUUCCUGCUUAUUUGUUUUCUGAUUUGUUUGUAACUGAACCUUAUGCAUUAAGCAUUUUUCUAUUCAUAUUUUAUUUACAAUUAUAUUUUUAUGUUAUAUAAUAUUGUGUGGUAUAAAGCAUGAAAUGUGCUAUUUUGUUUCCUUAUUGUUGGAUAUGUAUGCUAUUUCCAAAUCUUUGCAAAUAUAUGUUACAAUGAACAUUUCUAUGUAUAUAUGUAUAUUUUAUUUGACAAGUUAUUACUUAUGAUAAAUUUCCAGGAUCAGAAUUAUUGGAUUGAAAUGUGGGAAAAGGGCCGGGUACAGUGGCUCACGCCUGUAAUCCCAGCACUUUGGGAGGCUGAGGCAAGCGGAUCACCUGAGGUCAGGAGUUUGAGACCAGCCUGGCCAAUAUGGUGAAACCCAAUCUCUAUUAAAAAUAAAUAAUUAGCUGGGUGUGGUGGCAGGCACCUGUAAUCCUAGCCUGGGAGGCUGAGGCAUGAGAAUCGCUUGAACCCAGGAGAUGGAGGUUACAGUGAGCCAACAUUGUGCCACUGCACUGCAGACUGGGCCACAGAGGGAGGCUCAGUCUCAAAAAAAAAAAAUAAAUAAAAUAAAUAAAUAAAACGAAAUAUAUGUAAGGUUUACAGCCGUUUCCAUAACGCAUUGGUUUUAAUCCAUGAUACAUCUAACUCGGGAGGAAGUUGAAUUCUCCUUCAUGACUCCAGACUGCUCCUCUUUCCUUUAUCCAUCUCCAGAUACAGUUCCUCAGUUUCCUCUGACCCCCAAACAUUUCUUUUCAGCACCGUAUUUCCUCUGACUAACAGCUGUCACUCUUACUCUCCAGAAUUCCAUUGGCAAAUUUAACAAGUUUGUUAAUUCAGAUGUUUGUCGAAGCUGCCAUGAAGAUAGUCAGAAGAGUUUGUUCCCGAAUCUGAUUUAAACAGUACGGUAUUUGGAGGUAUCAUGUUACAGAGGAACAUAUUUGAGACCUGGAGAAACCUAAAAUUGAAUUUCAGCCUUAGCAUUUCCUAGCUAAAAAUGCUAUAAAAUAUAGGCAAAUGUAGAUGUGACAUGAAAAUUACCUUCAGCAAGUCUUUUAUACUCUAGGCUUAAUGCGUUGAACUAUCAAACAACCCUCAUGAGGACAUCUUCACAGAGUUGUGUGAGACGGAGGCCGAUGUGAAAAUGCCUUCUGGUAUGUCUGGUGUGCGAAAAUUAUUAUUGCUGUUGCUCAUUUUUUUCCUGUAUUCACUGGCUUUUCAUCAUUUUUGGAACAAAUGACUCGAUGUAGCUGUUGGUGGUGUCAUUGCCUGUCAGCCAAAACUCCCAAGAAACACAUCUGCAGUGGAGCAAAUUUGCCUGUGUUACUUGUUGCAGCUAAAGGGACCACACACCAUAAGGGAAUCGGGAAGCAUUUCAGGAUUUAAACCUUUAGGUGGUUUUGGGGGUGUUUGAAGAUGUAAGGUACUCUCCUGUGUUGGAUACUGCCAGGAAGUAAAAUUAAAUAUAUGCAGGGACAGCUUAAUAUUUUACCUAGGAAGUGGCAGAAAUGGAAUGGAACUGAAGAUAGAAUCGGCAAAAAGGCAAUGGCCACUCAUGUUAGCUCAGAGAGGAAGAAAUUGGAUUGCUUUUUUACAGUAUUUCCAGUAUUGUGUUUGCACUCAGACAUAACUUCCGAGGAAUUUGACUUUUAUCCGACUCUAUCGUGGUCCCACACUGAAUUCAUCCGACGUCAGUGUUCUGUGAAAUUGUUUAUCCUCAGUAGACCGUCAUGCUCUUGCUGAUAGUGCAAGCAAACAGCUUUUGGAUGUUUUUCUUCUAAUUCUCAUUUGGUCAACGGCAGAUGAAGUUAGGCCACAGGAAGUUAAUCCACGAUAUUGAAGUUUUUCCCCAUUACUGCGAUUCUGCCUGUUGGGAGCUGUCCAGAGAACAUUCUUUGUUUUUGAACAAGUUAGUACCUCUUAUUCCUUUUGUUAUCAGACGGGUUGUUGAGUGAUCUGACAUGACAAAGGCUGUGUGUUUUCGUACAAGAUGCAUCAGUCAAGUGGUUUCUAGGCAACUGUGAAAGACAACAUGACCAUUUAUUAGUCGUUCAAGUCCAGGGACAAGGUGACUAACCCCAGGCCGUGAAAACAUGAGCCAAGGUCCAAGUGGGUCUGCUCUACGGAUCAAGGUCAUGUGCUUUUCUUUCAGUCUAAUCCCAGACUGUUCCGUCUCUCCAAUUGUAUGUAUGUUGGUGACACAGGGAGUGUUUACUAUAGCAUGAAUUCCCCUUAACUAGUAAAUUUAACUAGUUUAUUUUGGGCCUUCCCAUUAGAGGGAGUUUGUACUUAAGAGUAAUACUGUAUGGGGCACAGACCCCGUUGAAUGACAGUCACUUUUACAAAAAAAAAGAAAAGGAAAGAAAAACCAAACCCUCUACUUCUAAUUUUACUAAUUUUAUAUGUUAUUCCUGUAACAAUUACAGGGAAAGAUAAACAAACCUUCAUGGCUGUAUUUAGGUAUGUGCAUGCAUAUCAACAUAAAAAUAAAUGAGAAAUGUAAAUAUUUUAACUAUGUUGAAAUACGUUAAAACAAUAUAUAUAUUAUACCAUAUCAUCUUAAUACAUUGUAAUCACAUCAAUUAUCUUACAUCAUAUUCCUAUUUUCUGUAACGAUUGCACUAGUCUACUCAACCUGUUAGGUGGUUUUGGGGGGUAUUUGAAGAAGCGGGGUACUCUUACAACACUCCAAGGAGCCACUCCAAGAGUUCAGCCGGAACCCAACUCAUAUAAUGUAUAUUAUUUUAGGUAGCCAAAGUAACCAGCGUUCUGCCCCAAACACAAAAGAAAACUGGAAAACUGUUGAAUUGUUUUACAAUUUUAGCCAAUUUCAACAAAUUUAAGUUAGCAAAACAAAGGUAUGUAAUCAUAAGUCGUUUGCAUACCCUGUUAAUUUCUAGCCAUCUUAAGAAAUAAGGGUCAAUUAAAAUUUCAUUAAGUCUUUUGAAUCUCAUUAUUGCAAAUUUUCUAGGUAUCAAAGAUUAUUUAUUGAUUCAAUUUAAUAUUUGUUUUAGGUCUUAAAGUUGCUAAAGGUUAUGAUUUUAAUUAACGUAUUAUCUCCUGUUUUGUUUAUAAUACUAAAAGAAAUUUUAUAAGAUUAAAUGCUUUAGAAUAGUAUCUAUUUUUACAAUUCAAUUUAAUUAUAGUGACUCUCUUGAUGAGACAUUCCCAUUUCUAGCUCCUUUUCACAGAUAAAUAAACUAAGUAUUUAUAAACUAUUUAGUACAGUUAGGCGUCAUUCUGAGGGGUUCACAACUGAAUUUCAUUUUGAUGCUGUGUUUUUACAUUGUGGCUGUUUGAUGUGGGUCUAGACGAUGACUCCCUUUUGUGAUUUCAUCUUAUGGAUAAGUUUUGCUACAUAUGCUGACUGUAAGUGAGCCGCUUUGACGAAUAUUAGGUAUGUUUUAAAGAAAAGAAUUCAUGUAAAUAUCUGUUUUUUAAAGCCAAUCAAUAUUUAUAUAGGUAUGAAAGAAUGUGUACAUUUGCCUUUAAACUAUAAAAACAAAUACAACAUUGAAAGUGAAAGAUGCUUUCUGAUGCCGAUACUUACACUACUCACAUUAUUGUUGAGGUUAUGAUGAACUCAUAAAACGCAGUUUUUAUACUGUUUAAGGGCAAAAUAAAAAGUAAUUGUAUAUAUAAUCAUUUUGUAAGUGAUAUAAUUUAUAAGUCCCUGAAAAUUAUAGCUUCAUCUAGCAAAAAUAUAAUCUCUUAAGCAGCAGCGGUUGCAUAAACUAAUAAGGAAAGGGGCACAAUUAAAUUUUUUUCUAAGUAAGACAAAGGAAAGCUCUGAGUUUCCUGGUAUAGUUUUGGAAGCGCAGUAGUUGAAUUGUUUGAAGAUUGAAUUAAUUUUGCAGGCACACAUUUUUGUUUUCAGGCUGUGAAGUUUGGGGGAGAUCUUGAUGGUGGCGGCAGUGGUGGGAUCCAUGCGUGGCAUCUGGAAGAAGGAGAGAAAGGAAGAGAAAGAAGGGAGGAGAGAGGAGGAAAUGAGGCCGUGAAAUAUCAUACACAGUUCCUUGGAUGGACGGAGGAGCAGGGAGAGCACGACCUGGCAGCUUGGGAGGGAGCUGAGCAGAGGGGUGGGGAGCUCUAGCUUUGGUUUUGGGAGGGGCCAGCUGUGCACCAGUGCUCUGUUCAGAAGAGCUGAUUGCAGUGGAAUGACACGUAGUCCAUCUUCUAGCAACUGGACCUUUCCCCGGACCUCAGCUGUCCCCUCUUGUUCUCUUCCUACAGCUCCUCCUAAGGAACUGAGUUGAUCUUCAGCUCUCAGGGUUUUUUCUGGUAGGCUCCAGGUUUCUUCUGACAUCUUAAAGGCCAAUGCUCUUUACGAAAGGUUCUAGCUCCACAGCCUCCUUCCUGUCAGAGCUGAGAAUAUCAGUGGUUUUGCAUUUCUCCUGAAUCAGUGGACAUGUUUUUCUUCCAGCUGUGUCCCUCUUUUAACAUAAAGUUGGAUUUCAGCUGAUUAACAUAUCUGACAAUAAAAAGGUAUGAAAAGUCCAAAUAUGGCUGCACAUGUCCCAAGAGGCUGAGGAAGUCGAGGUCAGGCUCAGGUUGGGCGGGGACACGGCGGCCUCCCUACUCACUUUCCUAAGGACGUUCUCUGAGGGGCGCUGCACAGAGGGCACCUGGGGCACCAUCCUGUAGCCAUGGCUCCACAAGACCGCGCUCCACACACACCGCAGAGCGACCCCAAGAGUUCAGCCCGGAACCCACGUCAGUGCCUGGGAAGCAGCACUGGGACCUUGGUGGAGGGCCAGACAGAUUCGGCGAAGAAUGCCUGUGCCCUGGGACUGGCCAGCACGUCCAGUUCCCUCCCUCCUCUCUCUUGUAAUCACAUACAUGAGACAUAAGGAAACGCUGAAAGACGAGUACAGUGAGCGUCCCUAAUGUACCUGCCUGACAGAACAGUUGACAUUUUCCGGUAUUUACUUCUGCCUCUAUCUCUUCUUUAUUCUGAAACAUUUCAAAGUAAUAGAUGACGUGACAUUUCAGCGUGCAUUUGCAAAUCGUAUGCACAUUGCCCUGCAUUUCCAUAUGUCGUUGUGCUCCUUUGUUAAACGCUCAUGUUCCAGAUGAGGAAGGGAGCUGAAGCACAGAGAAAGAAGUUACGCGGGAAAUUGCAGACCUGCAUUUCCAUCUGGCUCUCAGUAGCUCUGAAGGCUGUAGGAAGAUUUUUACAGUGAUCUUUCUGACUGCGUGGAGAAGGCCUGAGGUCAGUGCCUACCCUUUCUCAACCUCCCUGGCACUCUCUUAUCUCCCUUUUCAGCGAAGAGAGGGCGCUCCUCAGGUGCAGAAUGCUUGCAGGCACAGAGUCUCUCUCAAACUUAAUAAGGUAUUUUAACAUUUAUAUUUCGUUUUAUACUUACCUAUCAUUUAUGGCUAUAUUUUCGCAUAUGUCCAUGUUUUAUAUUUUAAAAAUGCGUGGCAGUGGAUAUAAAGAUUUUUUAUAUAUAUUUACUUAAGUAAAAGUGUUAUAAUAUUGGUAGUACCUGGCAAAAAAUUAUAGCAAAAUUGUCCCUCUGAUAGGGGAAUUACUGAAGCUUUAGAAAUACUGUUGCAAACCGUGUGAAAGGGCUGCUGUACGUAUAAACCACCCUUCCUCUGGCCGGGUCUGAACCUUAGGGGUGUUUCUGAUUCCUAGUCCUGUCCCCACCUUGUCUUGGCUGCCUGGGGGAAGAGGAGAAGUCGCCAUUGGUGUGGCCUCAGUCGAAGGAGAAACUGUGCUGAGUCUUCUCCAUGGCCCCCUUUCCCACCUGUCCUGACAUAUUUCUUCUGUUUUUCAUUCCAAGUGUCAGCGACUGUUUUGUGUCAAAUCUGCCAUGAAAUGUGCAUCUUUCCCAUAAGCAAAGGAAGAGGUGGAGGUGCUUACUCAUCCCUCAGCCCUGGUUGAUUUCUCAGAUGCAUUCUAAAUAGCCAAGCAGUCCCUUCUAAUAAUAGCAAUAACAACCAUGUUAGUGAUAAUUUCCUGUGGCCCAGACAUGCAAACCAGUCCGUGUGCAACUGGCCUUUUCCCACGGCUUCAGUAGAGGCUGAUGUUAUUCCUGUGGCCCAGCCGGGGCACCAUCCUGAAGAAGGCAGAGCCAGCGUGCUGUGGGAGUUGAGGAAGAGACCUGACACCUGAGCACAUCCGCUGUGCCUGGCCCCUGAAUUUGCUGUGUGUGGUGCACAAUAACUAGAAAUACACUUAAUCCUAGAUUGUAUCAGUUGUAAAAGGUCUAGUAAAAUUUUACAAAAGAAUAUCCAGAGAGAAGAUUGUUUUUAAUAAGAAAUAUCAAGAGAGUGGGGAAAAGAGGGCGAUUAAAAAAAUAGUAGAGCUGCGCACAGUGACUCACGCCUGUAAUCCCAGCACUUUGGGAGGCUGAGGUGGGCGGAUAACCCGAGGUCAGGAGUUCGAGACCAGCCUGGCCAACAUGGCUAAACCCCAUCUCUACUAAAAGUACAACAAUUAGCCUGGCAUAGGGGCACAUGCCUGUAAUCUCAACUACUCAGGAGGUUGAGGCAGAAUUGCUUGAACCCGGGAGGUAGAGGUUGCCAUGAGCUGAGAUCAUGCCACUGCUCUCCAUCCUGGGCUACAGAAAAUAAAAGUUGGUUUCUAAGAGUUGAAAGAAGCCAUUUAGCAAGAGGGUGCCACUGAGGGAGCUCCUGAGUGAGGUAGCCAAGGACCCUAAACGAGGGCCCACGUCACUGUGAUGUGUCAACACAAAAGGCGGGUGUGGAACCCAGUGGGGCAUGAAAGAGGGCGUUGUGAAGGGCCCUGGGUGCACAUGCCUUUGAGAGGGAGCGAACAGGGAAUGACAAGGUUUGGGUUUUGUAAGAGCAUGCGAAGCCAGUGUCAUUAUAGAGGUAGUUCCCCUGAACCCACAAUGAGUCAUGUCCCCGGCCGAUACGGCUCAAUUUGUUGUGGGUUGAAAAUCCCAUAUUUCUAAGGCUAUCUUUCUGCUGCUGUGACGUGGUGGCCAUGAGCUGGUAGAAUGAGGCUCACUCUUGAGUGUCCUGGGUGAGCUGAACGUGGUGGCUGGAUCUAAGGCUACGGUCUGCUUGGAUUGCACGCUCUGCCCCUGCCAUCUCCCGGGGCUGGCCCACACCGAGAUCUUUCAUUCUCACGGCAACCUUUGUAGGAGAUACUGUCGUGAUCUUCCUAGUUCACAGAAGCAUGAAGAGCAGUUCACUGUCCUGCCCACGUUUGCAAAGCUGGUAAGUACCCUAGUCGCAGGCAACCCAGGCAGCCGGAUUCUGGAUCCACACUCAAAAUCUCCGAGCUAUCCAGAUCCUGCCCUGGUCUGGACCUUCCCCCAAAUCAUAGUCCUUUGGCAAAUGUUUCAUGUGAGAGGAGACUCCAGAUUGGCCAGGGUUUUCAUGCAGAGCAACUGUGUGGAUGGUGGCAUCAUUUCCCAAGGUGAGGAACUGGAUGGAGCAGUUCCGGGGGUGGGAGGAGCGAAUCACGAUUUCCACUUAGCUUGAGACGCUUAUUAGACAGUAAAGUGGAGAUCAGAGUCAGCAAUGGCAAAACUAAGAACAGAGCCUUGUAAAAUGUAUCGUUCCCCCCAGACUCUUUUCUACUCCAUCAUGAAUUUCUGCAGACACACUUGCACAUACACAUGCAUGGCAAAAUGUCAAACAUUGAUUAUUGAAAAUAAGGGAUGGUACAUGAGUAUUCAUUGUGUUCUUUUCCAUAAUAUUUGAAAUUUUUUGAGUAAAACUUGACUUGAGAAUUCUUCAGGAAACCUGUCCUGCCCUCUCCCUUUGCCCCAAUGCUCUGUGCUGGUUCCCACGGGCUGGUGUGGGUUCCAGGCAGAAUAUUCAGGGUGGAUCUGGGGUGUGUGUGGGGUGUGGCCUGCUGGAGCCAAGGCUACCACAGGAGCUCUCGGGGAUGGGCUUCAGGGCCAUCCUGGGCCGUGGCUUUCUGCACAGCUCUCCUUGGACGUGGUCCUUGGGAAGGUGAGGAGGGAGUAACUGUGACGUCUAAAGUCCAGGCUCGGACUACUUCUGUCCCUGGGAAUCAGUGACAUGUGAAACUGUGGCUAGAUUUUUCAUAGAUUUCUAAUACGUAUUUAAAAAGCCUCCAGAAGCUUUUAUUUAGCUAAAGUUUGGCUUUAUGUUAAGUGGGAGGCAUUUGGCACAGAACUUGCCUGUUAAGGAAGAAUAUAAAUCCACUGACAACCUUAGCUCUGAUAAAAGGGAAUGUGAGAGGCUGGAGUCUUCUCUAGGGAGUGCUAACCUCCAAAACAGCUGUGGGGAGCCAUGUGCAGGAAAGCCACCCUGAGUCGAAGAGGACCCGCUCAGUGGUGUGCCUUGUGCCCCUGGCCAUCUCUCCAAGGCAAAACGAACAGGCACAGUGCUUCUAGUCCUGCCCACUGGGAAGAUUUCCUUUCACCAUUGCCUUUCAGAGCUGUCUCAAAGUGGAAUGGUAGUGCUGCAGCCCACUCCCAGGUGGCGUCUAGAUGCCAGGCAGAUCUGCCUGCCAGACAAGCCUGUUUCUUCCCCCAUCAUCAUGGAGCACUCCCCAUGAAGCCAUAUAUAUGGGGUGAGAGAGGGAAUGCAGUGUAGCAAGGAAAGGAGGCCUGGGCGUCUGAGGACCAGUGAAUCUGGGGGGCGGGCAUAGGCACCUGCUGGAGGUCAGACCAUAUAUACCACUUCCGCUCGAUGAUGGAGCUCUGCUUUCCAUUCUCAACUUUACGGCGUGGUGGGUAGAAAGUGCCCAACAAAUGACAUGCAGCUCUCUAAAAGCUGUUUCUCUAAAGGAGAGUAGUUAUCAGCACAGAACCACAGGUUUGCUCCCCAAUCCUGUGAAUCGACACUGUGAUUUACCCUAGUGAGUUCUGCCGAACACUCCACACUGACACGUCAAGCAGCAUCCAUUCUUAUGGGUUCUGUGUCCCAAAUGAGGAGCCUGCACGCCGGCCUGGACCUAUUGUGGAACUCCCUCUCUUGUGGAUCCCACCCAACGCUGGAAGUCUUGUGGAUCACUAGGUAGAUGGGUCGCAAUAACACAUCCUAAUGAGGUAUAUAUUGCCUCCCAAACCUAGAGAGGUUCACCAGGGGUUGUGCCUCUUUCUUAGCGGUAGAAGGGGCCGGAUACAACAGCAUGCCCUUCAGUGUGGAAGGAAUAUGUCGACAUACCUCAGACCAUUGAAUCCUUCAACUUUUCACGGCAGUAGAAAGGUUCUGAAUUUUUUGUAGCAUAAUUGUUUAAUUCUUUUGUAUGCUGUUGUAUGUUAUUUGUGGAUUUUUGGUGGAAUCUUACCAAUGUGGCUAGAAGUCAUUUCUUCCUGUUCAUCAGAUCCAGUCAAUAUAACAUCCUCAAUGCAAUUGACCAGAAUAAUGUUCGGCAGCAUGAAAAAUGUGACCAAGAUCCUGCAGACCAGGGCUAGAGAGUUGAUAUACCCCUGCAAUGGGACAGUGAAGGAAAAUUGGUGGCCUUCUCAGCUGAAAGCAAAUUAAUUUUCAUGGUGUUUACUAAGAGUAGAGAAACAGAGUACUUGCCAGACCCACAGCAGCACGCCAGGUGCCAAGGGCUGUAUUGAUUUACUCCAGCAAUGAAACUGCAUUUGAAAUAACAGCUGCAAUUGGAGUCACCAUCUGAUUACAUUUCUGAUAAUUCACUGUAAUUCUGUUUACCUCACUGGUCAAACCAGCGAGUCAAAUGGGGAUUGGUAGGAAUCGUCACCUCUGAUCUUUCAGGGGUCCUAAGUUGGCACUAAUCUCUACAGUCCCUCCAGGAAUGAGAUAUGGCUUUUGCUGUGCUUAAAUUCUUAUGGUAGAAGCUACUUAGUGGCUUUUACUUGGAUUCUUCUAUUGAAAUAAGCUAAGCAUACAAAUCAAAAUGGCUGCUGCUUCACUUUCACCCUCCAAAUCUCAGGCAAAAUGUCUCUUGAGGCUUACCUGAACCAGAAAGGAAUUCUGGGAAGAGUGGCUCAGCCUGACCAAGUUGACAGGUAAAGCUAUUUUAAACCAUUUCAAACUGUGGUCAUCUUUACACUUCAGCGUGCUUUAGCACAUUAUGACGUUCUGCUGUGUAAUUGUGUGCCACUGUGGUGCUGUGUUAUCUUAUUUUACAGAUAAGGAAACUAAAGCUCAGCGAUAAGAGAACUUGUCCAGUUUACACAGUAAGUGAGGGAGCCAGAGUUUAUAUCCAGCUCUGCCUAGCUUCAAACCUGUGCUCUUUAGACCACACUCAUGCCUUAGGGUGUGCACAUCUCAUGGUAUUCACAAGGACUUCACAUGGUAAAUGGACACAGUGUUCAGUCAUAAAAUGAGAAAAGAUACCCUUUCAGGUUACCUUUAUUAUUAAUGUCAAUGAAAAAGUCUCAGGCUAGAACUAGUAUGUUUCUAACACUUCUCACCUCGCUAACAUUCUUUUUUUUGAGGCAGAGUCUUGCUCUGUCACUGAGGCUGGAGUGCAGUGACGCAAUCUUGGCUCACUGCAACCUCCACCUCCCAGGUUCAAGUGAUUCUCAUGCCUCAGGCUCCGAAGUUGCUGGGAUUACAGGUGUGCACCACCACGCCCAGCUAAUUUUUGCAUUUUUUUUUUUUUUUUAAGUAGAAACAGGGUUUUCCCAUGUUGGCCAGGCUGGUCUUGAAUUCCUUACCUCAGGUGAUCUGCCCACGUUGGUCUCCCAAAGUGUUGGGAUUACAGGUGUGAGCCACCGCAGCCCACCAACUAACACUUUCUUGUCUCAGUUUAAAAAAAGAAAGCUUAGACCUUGGGCUUGGCAGUAACAUACAUAUGCACACACAUGCACACACAUUUAGUUCAUUUUGUGGUGGGGGCUUGCAAUUCCUUUGGAAGUAUAUUUACUUGAAGAGAAAAGGAAAAAGAAAAGUAAUUUUCUAGAAGAAAAACAACGAGUUCAUUAACUGUGUGAUAGUACAGGCAAUCCAAAGUUGCGAAUUCUACAUGUGGAUUACUUUGAGAAUGUUUUCCUCACCAUGCGUCUUUUCAGUGACAAGAGCACUUUCCUUGAUAAAGAAAACAUGUUUUAUCCAUAGCUUCAGUAAUGAGGCCACUAAAAUAUUAAUUUUCUGAGCAUUCUUAAACAUAACUGAAUCAGCUUCAAUUUGCCUAGAUACAUAGACAUUUUAGUGGUUUAUAGCAAAAUGUAAUAAACUGAAUAACUGUAGGCUUUAAUGUAAUCUCACACAAUCCUAUUACGUUCCAAUCACUUAUUUGACCUUUUAAGGAUGGUUCCCGCCUAAACAGACACGAUCCUGCGAUUCCGAAUGUCUUCUUCCUGUGUUGUUCCAAGGCAAUCGAUAGAUCAGAAAGAAUUAGUACCUCACUGGGUCCUCCAUUUGUAAUAUGCACUGUCCCAGGAAGGCACGAUGCAUCCCUCCCAGGCGUAAUAAAUGUUUACCGAGCACAGUUUGUGAAAUGCUCUCCAGUUUUCAUUCUCACAAAUUUCAGGGCCAUCAAAACAGCUUUCAUUUCCUUGAAGUAAUGAGCAAACCCAGGGUGAAUCCUGUUGCUACUUACAAUGCAUUAGAAAGGUGGGAGGGUGGCUGAGGUCAACACAGCCUUUAAGCUGUAAAGAAGCUCCUUUUGAAAGUUAAACUUCAGGACUUGGGGAGAGGGUGAGAGGGGGUGAGGGAUAAAAGACUACAAGUAGGGUGCAGUAACUACUGCUCGGGUGAUGGGUGCACCAGAAUCUCCACAAAUCACCACUAAAGAACUUACUCUGCCGGGCGCGGUGGCUCACGCCUGUAACCCCAGCACUUUGGGAGGCCGAGGCGGGUGGACCACGAGGUCAAGAGAUCGAGACCAUCCUGGUCAACAUGGUGAAACCCCGUCACUACUAAAAAUACAAAAAAUUAGCUGGGCGUGGUGGUGUGUGCCUGUAAUCCCAGCUACUCAGGAGGCUGAGGCGGGAGAAUUGCCUGAACCCAGGAGGCGGAGGUUGCGGUGAGCCGAGAUCAUGCCAUUGCACUCCAGCCUGGGAAACAAGAGCGAAACUCCGUCUCAAAAAAAAAAAAAAAAAAAAACGUACUCAUGUACCCCAAUACCACCUGUACCCCAAUAACCUACAGAAAAAAUAAAUAAAAAGCAAGUUAAGUGUAUACUGUAUUUAGAGGUAGACGUCAGGAGCAGUGAGACAGUCUACAGAGAACUAUGCAGGUUUAGACCUGUGGAUAGAACAAUCAACAUAAGAUUCAGUUGUCCUCAAUCACUUCCAUGUAAGUGAAGAGUUUGCUAAAUAAUCAUGAUAUUGAUGAUUAUGAGUAAGUGAACGUACUCAUCCAAAAUUAAAUACACUACCAUUUGCUGACUAUUAUGUACCAGGUUCAGAGCUGUAUCUGUGGUAAACAAAGCUGGAUAAAAUAUGUCUGUCCCUGGAGACUCUUGGUUUAGAUAGCAGGAAAGGUAGACUAAAUAAAUCAUAGUACAAUGAGAUGGGGACAGAAAUAAAGGUGAGUGCCAGUUGUGAAAGUGUGUGAUGGGCUCUGCUUGGAGGAGCAGGGCAGAGGGGCAUAAAUGGGGUCUUGAACACUGAGGGGGAGUUACGGAAACUUUAAACAAAGGUGAAAUGGAAGCUGCUUCCAAGCAGUGGGAUUGAUUUUAAAGUGUAAUGAAGUCUUUCUAAAAUGGUACUAUCCUGGAAAAAUCAUUGUGUUUAAGGUUUAUUAGGGCUGCCCUCAUCUGCAGCUUGCAGGAAGCCCAGUUAGCAGUGCUUUCAAAAGGUAACUAUUUCUUUGUUUCGGGCAACAAGAAUUGUGAUAGGAGGCCGGCUCGGUCUGGGAUGCCGGUUGAGUGGUGCAUUUGUAAAGUAGGCUCUUUUCACGUUUGCCCUCCACACAGAGUCGAGUCCAGCUUUAGCCCUCACAUGUGUGUUUCAUGGUCAAAGACUGAUGCUGAGGCUUCAGGCUCACGAUCUCAUCACAACCAGGAAGACGGAAGAAGAACUGAAAGGGAGAAGGGAUGUCACAUUGGGGUCUGUUCUUUUUAAAGAGCUUUCCUGAAAGUUUCUUCAAGAGAUUUUAACUAAUGUCACUGGCCGGAAAUAACUUGGCCAUCCCACUUCAGUACAAGGGAGUCUGAAAACCAAGAAUGUUAGCUUUCCAGCCCAUCACUGAGGAAGGAAAGAGAGAGAGAAAGUGGGGCGGAGGUGUGGGCUGUGGCUUGUUUGUGAAUAGCUAGUUCACAAAGUAUAGCACAAAGGUCUUGUGAGAGUUUAGGCCACAAUCACGUAGUUUUAGCAUUAAAUGUUUAGGUCUUACAUAGUUAAGGUUCUCCAGAGGGGCAGAACUAAUAGGAUAUAUGUAUAUGUGAAGGGAGUUUAUUAAGGAGAGUUGGCUCACAUGAUCACAGGGUGAAGUCCCACCAUAGGCCAUCUGCAAGCUCAGGAAGAAAGAAGCUGGUAGUGGCUCAUUCUGAAUCCAAAAGCCUCAAAAGCAGGGAAGCCAACAGUGCAGCCUUCAGUCUGUGACCGAAGGCAGGAGAGCCCCCAGCAAACCGCUGGUGUAAGUCCGAGAGUCCAGAGAACCUGUAGUCUGAUGUCCAAGGGCAGGAGGAAUGGGAGGAAGCAUCCAGCAAGGGAGAAAGAUGAAAGCCAGAACUCAGCAAGCCAGCUCAUCCCACCUUCUGCCUGCUGGUUUUAGCCUCGCUGGCAAACAGCUGGAUGGUGCCCACCCAUAUUGAGGGUGGAGUUUCCUCUCCUAGUCCACGGAAUCAAAUGUUAAUCUCCUCUGGCAACACCCACACAGACACACCCAGAAACAAGACUACUAGCUGUCUAUGCAUCCUUCAAUCCAGUCAAGUUGACUCUUAAUAUUAACCAUCACAGGUCUAAACAUCCAAAGGAAGUGAAAACACCAUCUGAGUUCUUCAUAUGGUAGAUUAAAUAACUCACCUGCUCAGGUCCACACAGAUAGCUAGAGAUACAGCUGGAACUUGAAUUCAGGUCAUCUGCUUUCCAGUCUUGGUUGUUUUCUCCUUGUAUUAAUCUGUUCUCACACUGCUAGAAACAACUCCCUGAGACUGGAUAAUUUGUGAAGAAAAGAGGUUUAAUUGGUGGAUAGCUCCACAGGCUUAACAGGAGGCAUGGCUGGGAGAUCUUAGGAAACUUGCAGUCAUGGCGGAAGGCAAAGAAGGAGCAAGCACCUUCUUCUCAUGGCAGCCACACACAGGGAAGCCACACAGGGAGGUGACACACACAUUUAAACCAUCGGAUCUCAUGAGAACACACUCACUGUCCGGAGAACAGCAUGGGAGAAACUGCCCCCGUAUCCAGCCACCUCCCACCAGGUCCCUCCCGCAACAUUGGGGAUUACAAGUCAACGUGAGAUUUGAGUGGGGACACAGAGCCAAACCAUGUCACUCCUGUACACUAACCUGACGUGCUGGACUUAGAUGAUGGUUUACAUCAAUCUCAAAUCAAUCUACUAGUUAUAAAAUACUAAAAGUUUCUGUAAUUAUUAGAACCUGCAUAUAUUGGAAAAACAAUAGCUAUAAGAAAUAAAAAAAUCUCUGGAAGAACCUGAGAAGACACCUGAGCUAAUACUGGUGAAGUGGCUCGAUGCACUGCAGGUAUCUGGUGCCUUAUUUAUCCCUGGAAGGGAGAUUAAAAAAAUACCAGGCAAGAAUAAAGCUUCCCAUCUUUUGAGGCACAAAGACUGAAAACAAAGUUGGCUCUUCUAAGUAGUAGAAUUCAAAGAGCCUAGAAAGUGAUUGUCAGUUCUUUCUCCUAACCCUUCUUCAGAUCUUUAAAAACAUGAUAAUACUCCUCCACAAGAAAGCGGAGCCUGUUUCUGAGGAAGCACUCCUGUUUAUCACAGAAAGUCUAAGUGUUUGUCAAAUGAUAGUUUGCAGAAAGGAAGACAAUAGAUAGGAAAAAAAAUCAGCCAGGCACGGUGGCUCAUGCCUGUAAUCCCAGCACUUUGGGAGGCUGAGGCAGGUGGAUCAUGAGGUCAGGAGUUCAAGACCAGCCUGACCAACAGGGUGAAACCUCACGUCUACUAAAAAUAUAAAAAUUAGCCAGGCAUGGUGGCACAUGCUUGUAAUUCCAGCUACUUGGGAGGCUGAGGCAGGAGAAUUGCUUGAACCCAGGAGGCGGAGGUUGCAGUGAGGUGAGAUCACGCCACUGUACUCAAGCCUGGGCGACAGAAUGAGACUUGGUCUCAAAAAAAAAAAAAGAAAAAUCCACAAAGACAUUUUUCUUUCCUUUGCUGUAACAAAACCUGUUGCUAAAUUACUGCCUCUUAUAAUAAUAAGGGAAGGCCAUUGAACAUCCAUGCUACAAUUUAAACUAUGGAGAACACACAGGUUAUUUUAUUAAAUGCAUGCAAAUUUUGAUUUGGAAAGAAAAUUAUAUGAAAAUGUUGCAGUGACUGAAUAAAGAAGCAAGCAUGCUGAAUAUAACCUUCCACUUCUAAGCAUUUUGAGAGAGAAACGUAAUAGAAACAGAUACACAAUUCCUGUAUGCAUUUCUGUACAUUCUAUCCAUCAUCACACAUUCAUGCACAUGGUUAACCAGAUAGUCUCUAAAGUCUGUCAGCUUCAUGAGUCAAGUGUGUUCAUGGCUUAUUCUUAAAUUUAACGUCUUUGCACCCCAGUAGCAUUUUGCACUUUCAAGUAAUAUUUUAAAAUUUGUUUAAGUUACUGUAAUACUCACUCUGAAUUCUACCAUUUUGAAUCUCUACUCUUGUGGUUCCUGUGGCAUACCACCGAUGCAGUAGAACGUUAUUAUAAUUCCGUAGUAAAAUAGUUAUAUUUUGUUGACUUGUGCUUAGCAUAUUGUGAGCACCCAGAGAUUGACAGAUUGAAUCAACGUAUCCGUGUCUUUUCAGCAUUCCAGUGGUGUGCCUUGCAGUGAAACAGAAUGAUUCAUUUCACUGAAAUACUCUAUGGAGCUCUAGGUAGACUUUGAGUGUGACUGUAUUCCUCUCAUCUCAUUGAGGUGAAGCCACUGAAUAAAUUUAAAGUGUGAAUAAAUUGCAUUUGUUAUAUGUAUUAUAUGCACAAUAGCAAGCAUGAAUCAUGGCAUUGAUCACAGUAAUGGGAUUUUUACACCUAUCGUCAGUUCUUAUGCUUUAAGCCUCUGGUUUCUGGUACAGUCUUUAUUGCAUUGAAUGAGAUGAAAUGCUUGUUUUGAGUCUCUUCAUCAGGUUGGAAGGGGACGGAGUGGCGGAUGUGAUAGACCACAGGCCGCUCAGUGACAGGGUCCGCACUGCCUGCAGAAAAGACUGGGGCGUCUAUGGCUUUUGGAAAAUGAAAAAUUCCAAAUGUACACAUAUAGAAACAGAAGAAUAAAAUCCCAGAUCCCCUUCUCCAGCUGUGACUAAUAUCCACUCAUGGCCCAUGUUUUUGCAUUGAUAUUUCCCCUCACCUCAUGUUUGCAUGCAAAUCUGUGUUUACAUUCAUAGCUUUUCAGAAUGUAAUUCUAAAAGAUAAAGACCCUUCAUGAACAUAAUCAUAGUCCAAUAUAAAAUCUGUCGAAAUCAACAAUUCCUUACUGUAACUAAAUGAUUAUCCAAUCUGUGUCCCAAUUUUCCUGAUUUCUCAAAUUAUUUUUUUGUGGUUUGUUAAAAUCAGGAUAUGCGUAGUAUUGCAAUCCAUGGCUGUGCCUCUCAAGAGUCAUCUAAUUUAGAUUUUUCUCUUCAUUUAUUUCCUGCAGUGCAUUUGUUGAAGAAGGUCUGUCUGUUCUGUCCCGCAGUCCAUAUUUUGCGGAGUGCACCUGCGGCGUUGUUCCCUUCUCCUCCAUGGUUACUGUAAUCUAGCUAUAAUCUAGUAGUCAGAUCAAUUUCAGGUUUGAUUGUUGCUUGGCAAGACCACUGUGCAGGUGCCACCCUGUUCUUCCACCAGGGGGCACAGAAGAUCUGGUGGUCUGUCUUUUUAUGAUGGUGCCAAGACUCUUUUUGACAAGUGCCCAUGGUCUGAUGGACAUUUAGUAGCUAUUAGUAAGUUAUAAUAUGCCUGAAUAUCACAGGUUGUGUGUGAGUUUUAGUCUUGCAAGUAAUUGGUAUGCAUUUUUUAAAAAGCUUAGACUAUUAAUCACUGUCAUAUCUUUAUUAUUUUUUCUGUGUGGUUUUUAAGGUGUCCCCACCAGGCCUGCUUAGCAGAAAGCACAGUUUCUCUGUGUCAAAGCCUUUUCCAUGUUGCUGUGCAGAAGGCAUCUCUAUCUUGCAGCCUCUGAGCCAGCCCAGACUCCCCUCUGCUGUCCAUGGUCCUCUGGGUCUGUAUCAGGCCUUUUGAACUAAAUGGAAAGUCGGGGCUUCAUUUCUUACUGUUUCAGGAGGCUUCUUGUCACUCAGACAAAGAGACGCACUUUCCUGGCAAACUGGCUCUGCACACCAGAGAGAAUCAGCGCUUCAGUCUAGAGGUCUUGAACUCUUUUCUCCCAACAGGGGCGUCAGCUCUUUGUGUUUACACACAGGUAAGAGGCUCCUCGAGUGCUCAAAGCUGCCAAAUGAAUGUCGGCUCCAAGGUGACUUUCUGUACUUCCAGCCUGAGAAGCUGUUGCAAGCUUUCUUGUCUUUCUUUUUUCUUAAUGAAAACCUUUUUAAUGAAGAAAAAUACUGUACAUUGAGUCCCAUUUUACCUACCUGACUACAGACACACACACACACACGCACACCCCGAAAUGAAGUAUCACUAAAUGAAACUUACUCUGUUUUCUUUUCCUUUCUUUCUUUUUCUAUUUUUUAAGAUGCUCUUAUUUUUGGUGCCCAGGCUAGAGUGCAGUAGCAGGAGCAGAGCUCACUGCAGCCUCGGCCAGUCCUGGGUGCAAGCAAUCCUCUUGCCUCAGCCUUCCUCCUGAGUAGCUGGGAUCACAGGCACAUGCCCCUAUGCCUGGCUAAUUUCUUAAUUUUUUUGUAGAGACAGAGUCCCACUAGAUUGCCCAGACUGAUCUUGAAUUCCUGGGCUCAAGCAUUCCUCCUCCCCCCGGGCUCCCAAAAUAUUGGGAUUACAGGCAUGAGCCACAGCACCCAGCCAGAACUUGUUCUCAGUGUGCCGGAAGCUUGCUGCUUUUGGCUUUUCCUUCCUGUUUGCUUCCUUCUUAUACUAUAUCAUUAACAAAAAAGGUGGUUAGGCCACUAAGUUGAUUUUACUACCGAAUAAUAACUUGUAAACUGCAAAUUGAAUAAUACAGCUAUAGGAAAACUUUCUGGCUAAUUAGAUCCAUGCACAUAGCAGAUGCUCAAUAAGUAUUCAUUGAUAUACAUGCUCCCUUCUUUUACAGGUCUUUGUGAGAUAAGACAUAUAUACUUUAAAAAUAAAGAUACUAUACGAGAAUGAAUUAUAUAAAGAAGCUACACGCAUGAGAUCUCAAGGCAGUAGUAUAAGAUUAAAAAAGUGAAAAAGGUGGCCGGGCACGAUGGGUCAUGCCCGUAAUCCCAGCACUUUGGGAGGCCAAGGCAGGCGGAUCACGAGGUCAAAAGAUCGAGACCAUCCUGGCCAACAUGGUGAAAACCCGUCUCUACUAAAAAAAUACAAAAAUUAGCUGGGCAUGGUGGCAUGCGCCUGUAGUCCCACCUACUUGGGAGGCUGAGGCAGGAGACUUGCUUGAACCCGGGAGGCAGAGGUUGCAGUGAGCCAAGAUCGCGUCACUGCACUCCAGCCUGGUGCCUGGUGACAGAGCGAGACUCUGUCUCAAAAAAAAAAGUGAAAAAGUGAUGUAGAUGGUAAUUUUGUGAGUUAAACUAAUAAAUGCUUAUCCUUUACAAUAGAAA